rnacentral:tRNA from 1 species
GCGGCAGUAGCUCAGUUGGCAGAGCAUUAGCUUCCCAAGCUGAGGGUCGCGGGUUCGAGUCCCGUUUGCCGCU